rnacentral:tRNA from 1 species
GCGCAGCUCAGCUGGAUACAGUGUCGGAUUCCGAUUCCAAAGGUCACAGGUUCGAAUCGCGUCGGGUGCGCCA